rnacentral:rRNA from 1 species
UACGGAGGGGGCUAGCGUUGUUCGGAAUUACUGGGCGUAAAGCGCACGUAGGCGGCUUUGCAAGUCAGAGGUGAAAGCCCGGGGCUCAACCCCGGAAUUGCCUUUGAGACUGCAUCGCUAGAAUUGUGGAGAGGUAAGUGGAAUUCCGAGUGUAGAGGUGAAAUUCGUAGAUAUUCGGAAGAACACCAGUGGCGAAGGCGAUCACCUGGGGUUGUUCUGACGCUGAGGAGCGAAAGCUAGGGGAGCAAACGGG